UAGGGGGCAAGCGUUAUCCGGAAUUACUGGGUGUAAAGGGAGCGUAGACGGCAGUGCAAGUUCGGAGUGGAAUGCAUCAGCCCAACUGAUGAACUGCUCUGAAAACUGCAAAGCUAGAGUGCAGGAGGGGUAAGCGGAAUUCCUGGUGUAGCGGUGAAAUGCGUAGAUAUCAGGAGGAACACCGGUGGCGAAGGCGGCUUACUGGACUGUAACUGACGUUGAGGCUCGAAAGCGUGGGGAGCAAA
rnacentral:rRNA from 1 species